CCCCCCCCCCCACUUCCGCCGACCCAGGCAGAUCGUCUCGCCCCACCACCUGUCCUGUGAAGAUUUGCACUGCUCCACACUCACCCAUCUAACUCUGUCACAAUGCCAACCUGGGCACGACCGGGGCACAUAGGGACGGGGGUCCGAUGCCACCAUCUAGUCUAGCCAGCACAGUGGUCCUGCAGGAGGUCUGCACGUGGUCUGCAGCGCGCGUGCGCGUGCACACGCCUUCCUAGUCGUCUGAUGCUUUUUGUGUACCUUAACUCAGCCACACCAGACAAACUGACAAACAUGCGCAAAUCUGAGCACCACCCAGAGAGCUGCAUCUGUCUGGUCAGGUUCCCUUAUCCCAAACACCUUCCUUUUUAAACUGGCCACAUGUGAUGAUUGAACUUACUCUGGCAAUAUUAUGCAUUAGCGGAUGCAUGUAAAAUAUUAUCCUUAUCUUAUUUCUGAACCCUUGACUAAUAUUUUUUUAUAGUUUUAGUAAUUAUUAUUGUUACGCUUAAUGUUUAAUUGUUACAUUUUGGACACAUUAUCCUGUGUAUAAAUCCUUACAGUAUAUCAAGUAGAAUGAAAAAAAAGGUAAAAUGUACAUAAAAAGUCUUCUUUUUUGUAUGAGAAAAUAUAUGUUUAUGUUUCUUGUGUUUGGGUUUAGUUGUCAUAAGCUUGUGGCCAAGCCACAGUAAAUGAGAAUUCCUUCCUUCUAAGGGAUCUGUUGUGGUUGGUGAGCGGUGAGCGCCCUCGCCAAUGCUGCACGCCUUUGCAAAGAAGGUACCUGUCCUCGGGACUCCAGUAAUUUCAGCAUCACUUGUCGUCAUUUUAAACAGAGUUAGCUUCCAGGGGAUAUGCAAACUCCAUUGCCAUUCUUUUCCACAACUCAUUUAACAGUUUUUGCACUUCUUGCAUUUUCACUAUUGUGCAAGCUUCAAGAUCUUAAAAAACUUUUUUCUAUUUGGAAGAUUGCACUAGAUAACCUGGUAUUGGUAUUGUUGUCUUAGAACACUUCUUUUUAAGAUGUGCAUCUCUGAAAAUAUUUUUAGACCUUCGACCUUCUAUGGUGUACUUUGAUUCAGACGAGAGAAAAAACGAAGUUGGAGAAAGAGCUGCUUUUAUUUAUUUUAUUUUUUUGCUUUUAUUUAUCUAUGUUAAGGCAAGCCAGGAAUAUCUAUUUAUUUUGCCCCUUGUACGGAAAUGCUCAACCGAUAUUGUAGAUAUGUCCUCACAUCUUGAAUCAUAGGGACUUCCUCUUCAGUUGAACAUACUGCACUAGGACUUGUGAGGUUCUAGCUGGCACACCUGUACUCAUGGUCCGGUUCUCGACAAUCACCGGCCGGGCUGACAUUCAGUCCAACCCGGGCCCAAGGGUCAGCGCCAUGUCUGAGAAUGAAUGAAGUGUAGUCUCAUAGGACUUGAGCUGAGAGCCCCCAAAACACCCCCACCCCCUACUCUACUCUGAGUGCCUUUCUCACCGUAGACCCACGCUGAAUGUCUCCGUGGACUGUAGGUUCAGGGAUGUACUGUUUGAAUGAAACGAUAAGAGGCCUGCUGCUGUUGUUGUGAGAUGUCCUUUUUGAAUGAAAGGACCCCGAGGGGCUAAUAUCUAUAGAAGUGUCUGGCUGGUGGCGUUGGUGGUGGGUCGCACACAAAGCACACAAGCUGGCUCAGCAGCGUAGAACACUGAUGUCAGGAAAUGAAGUAAGGAAAGAGCACAGGUUUUGGCGUACGUCGCUGGCACUUUUGAGGAGGCUGAUUUGUCCUUUUAGCGUGAGACGAGGGAGAAUCGAAAUGUUAGGCCAUCAUCGUGGAGGGGUGUUUUAUGAGGUGCGAGACUCAGGUUAGCCGUAAGAUAAUGAGGAGAAGAAAGAGGAAUUGUCCCCCCCCCCCUCCCCCCUGUGCAUUGCUUUGUUUUCUUUUUUCUUUUCAAACUGACUUUUUGUAUGAUGCUUGCGACUCCAUUGAGCUCCAUGUUUUCCUCCAUAAGCAAGGGCUGGACAAUUUCUUCAGGGCAGAAACUCCCUCAUCUGAUUUCGCUCCAUUUCAGCUUUAGUUUCGGCUGUGUCAUUACAUUCAAGUCCUUGUACGUUUUGUUUUGUUUUUCAGAUACAAAACGCUCCUCGUAUUGGCCCCAGCUGGUCAGAAAUGUCCUCUAAAGAGAAUCAGUCCCUUAAUCAGAGUAAAAGCUAAGUGCACUGGCAAGGCACUCUCAAUAAACUUGGAUCAAGUCGGCUUCGGAGAAAAACGGUACUUAGUCAUAGAAUCUUUAGUCAUAAAAUCUGAGUAGAAAAGAUGGGGUUUUGAGAAUAACGAUCUGGGGGUGGCGAAUUUCUGUAGAUGUAGUGGGCUGUGUUCACUGAGACAUGGGAAGCUCAAGCCGUCUUUGCUCCAGGUUUGUUUGAAGAGACGCAGUAUUCUGACUCAUGGGACCUCCGGGACAUUAAUUUAACAGUCAAAUGCAUUGUUUGGAUCCACUCCUCUCAGGAGUGUGUGCAGGUGAGGCUGUAUAGUUAGUGAGCCAUGGUAAUAUAGGAUUUUGCAAACUGUUCCUUUUUUUCAAAACACAUUUCUCCAGUCCCUGAGAAUGAGAUGAAAAUGGAGUAUUUUCUGUCGAGAAGUCCCGAAGGAGUUGUUCAUAGCGAUAAUGCAUUCCCAAUCGACAGAACGGAAUUCAGUCACUCUUAGGGAAUUGUACAGUAAAGUACAGUUUAAUUUCUUUGGGAAUAAUUUUUUGUUUGUUUGUUUGUUUUAUUCCGUUCCUCAGUAAAAAACCAGCAGGUAAAAGCAAAAUAAUAAACACACAAAUAGUCAAUACCAAAAAUAGUUUCAACAAGCGGUGCCUCUCAUUUUACUGCUAAUCUGUUUUCACCUUCACCCACUUCUUGAAGUACAGUGGCUCGACACGUGUUCUCCCUUUAUGUUCCGAGUCCUUUUUAAGUUCUAAGAGGGACUGGUUUGGGGUUCCACCCACCCUCCAGACCUCUCAUUUGGUUCCUGAGAAUAUCCCACCGCACAGAACAUGGUUCCAAUGUGGGGUGGAGCGUGCCUGGGAAGCACUGCCUCAGUCAACAGGGUGAAGAAGCCAUGAUCAUUAUUUGCAGUUCCAGAACUCUUUUCACCAUGUGAUCCAUUCUUGUCACCUCACAUGUUAAAUAAAUGAUGCUAAUAAUAAUAAUAAUAGUAAUAAUAACAACAUCAAUCAUGGUGGCCUUCUUUCAUGGCCAAGUACUCCUAAAUGCUCCUAAUGGUUUGAGAAUGAAAUUCACUGACAUGAUGUUGGAUUGAGCUUUGUUAUCUGGUCUGACCUGGGGCGCCCCCACUCUUGUCACAUUUGUUUUCAUUUUAAAAUGUUUUAUUUUUUUAUUUUCUUCUUCUUUUUGUUCUUUUAAAGCAUGCUGUUUUUUCAAUGUGAGUUGAAGUUGAUUUGGUGGAGAAGGAAUGAGGUCGAAAUGUUUCUCAGAGAACAUUCGAAUGCAGUGUUAAAAUUUUAAGGAUUUUUUUUUUGUUUGUUUUUGUUUUUCAUUAUUCUUUACAAAUAUUACCAUAGUAGUUACUCAUUAUCGCUUGCUUGCUGCACAGACAUACACUUCACACCAGGACAGAGCAUGUGGACUUUUAGUUGGGACACAUCCAGUAGAAACAGACUGCAAAUGAAACAGGCAUUAACACAUGGAUCUCCUUUGACAGCUUGUGACUUUUCUUUUCUUCUGUUUGUUUUCUAUUCUGAACUGUUGGGAUGAAAAUCGUAUCAGCAAAAGUCGGUAAUCAUAUUUUUUCCAAGUAAUUAUUUGAAAAACGGAGAACAAAGAUCUUUUUUUUGUUAUACACACACAAAAAAAACAACUAAAUUUGCCAUGUGUUUUUGAACUGGUGUGGGGGGAAAUCUACAGCUUUGACAAUAUUUCAUUAUAACAUUGUAUUCAGCCAUCGCUGUUAGCAAAAUGCUCAUGAUUACAUUACUGGAAGUGAGUAUGUUUCCCUAUGCAAAAAAGUAUAAAAAUAAUAAACAAGCUAUGCUACAACUCAGA
ensembl:lncRNA